rnacentral:rRNA from 1 species
GACGAAUGCUGGCUGCGUGCUUAACACAUGCAAGUCGAACGGUGAAAGGGAGCUUGCUCCCUGGAUCAGUGGCGAACGGGUGAGUAACACGUGGGCAACCUGCCCCUCACUCUGGGAUAACUCCGGGAAACCGGGGCUAAUACCGGAUACGACCUGGUGCGACAUCGCACCGGGUGGAAAGAACUUCGGUGAGGGAUGGGCCCGCGGCCUAUCAGCUUGUUGGUGGGGUAACGGCCCACCAAGGCGACGACGGGUAGCCGGCCUGAGAGGGCGACCGGCCACACUGGGACGGGGACACGGCCCAGACUCCUACGGGAGGCAGCAGUGGGGAAUAUUGGGCGAUGGGCGAAAGCCUGACGCAGCGACGCAGCGUGAGGGACGAAGGCCUUCGGGUUGUAAACCUCUUUCAGCGGGGACGAAGCGAAAGUGACGGUACCCGCAGAAGAAGCACCGGCUAACUACGUGCCAGCCGCCGCCGUAAGAC